rnacentral:lncRNA from 1 species
GACUAGCUGGAUUUGAUGACUGCGUGCUUGGUAAUUAAGGUUGGUUUUUAUGUGAAAAUGAAAUGGUAAGUGGAUUGGAUUCGUCCUGAGAAUGGUCUUAGUAAGAAAUUAUAUUUAGCUAAUUAGGUAGACUCGAGAUAUGAUCUCCCGCGUCCUGUCAACAAGCUUAAAUUUCCUUGCUUUUCAUAGUGAAUGAAUGAGGUGUUAAGCAUUGGGGUUGUGGGAACGGUAUUUAUGUUUAGAUCCUUACUUCUUAACCGUUGAGACGUUGAACCUCGAGGCUUCAGGACAAGACUUUUCUUCACAACUUUGUUGGUCCAGCUGCUUUCGUAUGUUGAUUUCUUGAAAGGGCUGAGUUUGUUUCCUUGCAUCUGAAACAACCAUCAAAUUGCUGAUGAAUUGCAAACUUAUGUUGUUACUAGUGUUGGGAGUCAUUAGUUGCAGGGUGCUUGUUGACUUUGUUAUUUGUGUUACUGUUAUUUGGAUAUUCCUUGGUGAUUGAUUCUCCUAAUAAGUUUUAUGUUGGCA